rfam:Fukomys damarensis contig94394, whole genome shotgun sequence.
GGGGAUAUAGCUCACUGGUAGAGCAUUUGACUGCAGAUCAAGAGGUCCCUUGUUUAAAUUCUGGUGCCCCCU